UCUCUCUCUCUCUCUCUCUCUCUCUCUCUCUCUCUCUCUCUCUCUCUCUCUCUCUCUCUCUCUCUCUCUCUCUCUCUCUCUUUUGAUACAGAUAUAUAUAUUCUACAAUCCUAAAUCUCUCUUCUACAAAACAGACAACUUGAUUAUACACCCCCAGAUGCAUUAUCAACUAUUAUACAUGUCACUACUAUAAUUAUUAUCAUCAUUAUUACUCUUUAUUAUUAUUGUCAGUCCUUAAAAUAUACUAGUAGGGCUGAAGAUUACAACACCUCCAGUGAUAUGCAUAUUAUUGUUGUUUUUGUUUUUUGUUUUUGCGGUUUCGCACUCCGAGACGCGUAAACAAACUCGCAUUCGUUGACCAUUUAUUAUUAUUUUUUUUUUUGCCCCCUCACAAACGUCCACCAUAUAUUAUUAUUUUUUUUAUUUCGCUUUAUAAAUUGCUAUCAUGUGGUUUAAUUUUUAUUCUCGUUUUCUUCCUGCAUAUUUACCUGAUUUGUUUUUAAUUUAUUUUCCGAAGUGAUGCGAAAAUAAAAAGAUACAACCAACUAAAUCAUUAUUAUUAUUAUUAUUAUUAUUAUUAUUAUUAUUAUUAUUAUCAUUAUUAUUAUUAUUAUGGAUUACUACAUCGUCUCCUACUGCUAUUAUUAUUAUUACUAUUGUUAUUAUCAUCAUUAUUAUUACUGUGGAGGUUGGUAAGGGUUCAUUCGAGGCCUGGAAUGAAGCAGUUGGCUGUUUCGGAGCUUCGGGUCAGCGGAUGAAGCUGUUCCGGACGAGACUAUGAAGUGUCUAAGGAGUAAUUCAUUGACACAGACAGACAGACAGACAGACUAACAGCUAAAUCACAGCGACACACACGGAGGAAGGGGGGGGGGGGGGAUUGGGGGAUUGGAAGAGUAGAGUGUGUGUGUGUGUGUGUGUGUGUGUGUGUGUGUGUGUGUGUGUGUGUGUGUGUGUGUGUGUGUGUGUGUGUUUAGGGAGGGUUGGAUCACAACAUACACUAUACUAUCUCUCUCUCUCUCUCUCUCUCUCUCUCUCUCUCUCUCUCUCUCUCUCUCUCUCUCUCUCUCUCUCUCUGUCAGGUCAAGCAGGAGACUAAAUGGUGACCUCGCUGAGUAAAUCAAGGCUCAGGCGGGGUCGAACAAGGGUCACGGAACAUCACAUUAGAUCAAGGUCACAAGUUCAAGGUCACAAGUUCAAGGUCACACAUUGUCAAGGUCAUAAUACUGGAAGCUGCGGGAAGUCACUUGUUAAAAGGUCGCUUGGUGGAGGUAAGUGGGAGAUGAGUGGUGGAGAUAAGUGGGAGAUGAGUGGUGGAGAUAAGUGGGAGAUGAGUGGUGGAGAUAAGUGGGAGAUGAGUGGUGGAGAUAAGUGGGAGAUGAGUGGUGGAGAUAAGGUGGAGAUGAGUGGUGGAGAUAAGUGGGAGAUGAGUGGUGGAGAUAAGUGGGAGAUGAGUGGUGGAGAUAAGUGGGAUAUGAGUGGUGGAGAUAAGUGGAGAUGAGUGGUGGAGGUAAGUGGGAUAUGAGUGGUGGAGAUAAGUGGAGAUGAGUGGUGGAGGUAAGUGGGAGACUAGUGGUGGAGAUGAGGGGUGGAGAUCAGUGGAGAUGAGUGGUGGAGAUCAGUGGAGAUGAGUGGUGGAGAUGAGUGGAGAUGAGUGGUGGAGGUAAGUGGGAGACAAGUGGUGGAGAUGAGGGGUGGAGAUCAGUGGAGAUGAGUGGUGGAGAUCAGUGGAGAUGAGUGGUGGAGAUAAGUGGAGGUGAGUGGUGGAGAUGAGUGGAGAUGAGUGGUGGAGGUAAGUGGGAGACAAGUGGUGGAGAUGAGGGGUGGAGAUCAGUGGAGAUGAGUGGUGGAGAUCAGUGGAGAUGAGUGGUGGAGAUAAGUGGAGAUGAGUGGUGGAGGUAAGUGGGAGACAAGUGGUGGAGAUGAGGGGUGGAGAUCAGUGGAGAUGAGUGGUGGAGAUGAGUGGGA